rnacentral:rRNA from 1 species
UACGAAGGGUGCAAGCGUUACUCGGAAUUACUGGGCGUAAAGCGCACGUAGGCGGCCUGAUAAGUCGGGUGUGAAAGCCCUGGGCUCAACCCAGGAAGUGCACUCGAAACUGUCAGGCUUGAAUAUGGAAGAGGGUCGCGGAAUUCCCGGUGUAGAGGUGAAAUUCGUGGAUAUCGGGAGGAACACCAGUGGCGAAGGCGGUUGCCUGGGGCUUUGCUGACGCUGAUGCGCGAAAGCGUGGGGAGCGAUCCGG